rnacentral:rRNA from 1 species
AACAGGUUCUUACUUGUAUUGGAUGAUAUAUGGAGGAUUAAUAAUGGGGAUGACUGGUUAAAAUUGUUGUCAACACUCAAUAAAUCAGAGGAAAAAGGUUCCAUGAUUCUGGUCACAACUCGGUUUGAAGCAAUAGCACAGAUGGUUGAAACACCUUGCCAGUCAAUAAAGCUGAAUGGUUUAGAAUCUGUAGAGUUUAGAAAGUUAUUCCUUGCAUUUGUGUUUGGUGAUGAGCAAUAUCCAAGGCAUAAACAAUUUUUGCUUGAGACUGGAGAUAAGAUAAUGAAAAAAUUAAAGGGCUCCCCUCUUGCAGCAAAAACGGUUGGUAGAUUACUGAGUAAAGACCUUAGUUUGCGUCAUUGGAGAAGGGUCCUAAAAAGUAGAGGAUGGGAGAAGCAGACUGAUGACAAUGAAAUUAUGCCUGCCUUGAAACUUAGCUAUGACUAUCUUCCUUUCCAUCUGCAACAAUGUUUUGCCUAUUCUGGAUUGUUUCCUGAAGAUUACAAUUUCAGAAGUGACGAACUGAUCAGUCUAUGGAUCGGACUAGAUAUUUUGAUACCCAAUGGGCAAGACCAAACAUUUGAAGACAUAGGUCUGAGCAAUUUAAAUGAGUUAGUCACCCAUGGAUUUUUCAGAGAAGAGAAAACUAUGUAUGGUCUGCGUUAUGUUAUGCAUGACCUGCUGCAUGAUUUGGCAUUGAAGGUUGCAUCUCAUGAUUGUCUUAGUUUAAGUCUCCCUGGUGUUGGAUCAGUAGAGAUUCAGCCAACCACCCGUCACUUGUCAAUAAGCACAUAUGGUUUAGGUAUAUAUGAUGCAGUGUCUGGUAAAAAAUUGAAGAGUGAAUUGGAAGAACUAAAGACAAGAUUUAAGGUUGAAGAUUUGCAAACAUUAAUGUUAUUUGGAGAAAUGGAUGAAGGUUUUGUCAAGAUAUUUGGUGAUUUUUUGGGGGAACCGAACACUCUUCGUGUUCUUCAUUUGCCCAAAAUGCUUUGUCCCAUGGAGUUCAUGUUACAUAACUUUUCGGGACUUCUCCACCUACGAUACCUAUGUCUAGGGACAGAUGAGAGCCAGAUGCAUUUACCACUUAGCAUCUCUAAAUUUUAUCAUUUAAGGAUUCUAUAUCUUGAUUUGUGGGAUGGCAGCUGUGAUUUGCCCAAAGACAUGAGCAACCUUGCUAAAUUGUGCCAUUUUUAUGUUCCUAGUGAUGAUCAGCUUCAUUCUGAUAUUUCUAAUGUCGGGAAACUUAAACUCUUAGAAGAGUUGAAGGUAUUUCAAGUCAAUAAAAGAAGUGAAGGGUUUGAAACAAAGCAACUAGAGCACUUGACCAAGCUAAGGGAGCUUGGCAUCUACAACCUUGAGAAGAUAGAUACAGCAGAAGAAGCAACUCAAGCAAAACUGAUGGAGAAAAAUUACUUGAGGAGGUUAACAUUGGACUGGGAUAGUAAGCGAUCUAGUGUUGAGCCUGGUGUGGAAGCAACGGUUCUUGAGGGCCUUCAACCACAUGGAGAUCUUCAAGUGUUGUGCAUUAGAGGGCACGUAGGUCCUUCUUGUCCAACAUGGCUGGGUGAUGAGUUCGCAGUUGAAGGUCUACAAUCUCUUUAUCUGGAUGGUGUUUCUUGGGAACUUUUCCCUUCUUUAGGGAAGGCAUGGGAUCUUCGUGAAUUAAGGUUUGAGCAUAUUGACAGACUGAAGGAGUUUAUCAUAGAGAAAAGCUUUUGCGUGCUAACAAAGCUUAAACUCAUUGGCCUAGGAAGUUUUGAAAAUUGGGUUUACACAGGUGAACAAGAGUCUUCCAUUAGUGGAGAAUUGUUGCCACCGGAUGCUCAUAUGUUCCCUCUUUUGCAAGUUCUGGUUAUUAGAGAGUGCCCGAAACUAUUGGGGUUGCCUUUCUCAAACCACAUUGUUUCC